GAUGAACGCUGGCGGCGUGCCUAAUACAUGCAAGUCGAGCGAACAGACGAGGAGCUUGCUCCUCUGACGUUAUCGGCGGACGGGUGAGUAACACGUGGAUAACCUACCUAUAAGACUGGGAUAACUUCGGGAAACCGGAGCUAAUACCGGAUAAUAUAUUGAACCGCAUGGUUCACUAGUGAAAGUCGGUUUUGCUGUCACUUAUAGAUGGAUCCGCGCCGCAUUAGCUAGUUGGUAAGGUAACGGCUUACCAAGGCAACGAUGCGUAGCCGACCUGAGAGGGUGGUCGGCCACACUGGCACUGAGACACGGCCCAGACUCCUACGGGAGGCAGCAGUAGGGAAUCUUCCGCAAUGGGCGAAAGCCUGACGGAGCAACGCCGCGUGAGUGAUGAAGGUCUUCGGAUCGUAGAACUCUGUUAGUCGGGAAGAACAAAUGUGUAAGUAACUAUGCUCGUCUUGACGGUACCUAAUCAGAAAGCCACGGCUAACUACGUG
rnacentral:rRNA from 1 species